rnacentral:tRNA from 1 species
UCCCUUGUGGCUCAGCUGGUAAAGAAUCUGCCUGCAAUGCGGAAGACCUGGGUUCGAUCCCUAGGUUGGGAA